rnacentral:piRNA from 1 species
UGUGUAGCCCUCGUUCAUUGGGCAGUUGGU